CGGUGGUUCCAUUUGUUACUUGUCGGCUCCACCGCAAGGUAAAUUUCUCCUCCUUUAAACCCACCGUUCACCAUAUGUUGCAAGACAGGCAAGAGUAACACUCUUGUUUUGUAUUGAGCGUGAGUGCCGACCAUAUCUCAACACCAACAUGUAUCACCCAAGGAACUCACUUCCAGUGGUUUGAGCGCAAGCAAAACAUUAAAGCUUGCCUUACGUCUAUCAUUGGCCCACAGAUGUCGCAUAUCAGAAGGGUUGCCAACCUGGUAGAACACUCGGGUUUCGUAAUAUUUCGUGUUCGUUCGUAUCAUUUUCACAAUUACAUUUCUCAGCUUUCGGCUCGAACUAAUUAGUCUGUCCGCAAACCGCACUGGGAGUAGUAGUGCGCGCCGGGAGUUUAGAGCUAGUACAAAUUGUGGCUAGGCUAAAGUCGGAUCACAAAAGUGAUAGAGUAGAAAUAGGUGUGAUACAGGUGGUUAUUAGGUUGUUCUUUUGUAUAGCCAAAUCCACGUGUGUAAAAAAACACCUGAAAGUUAGUGUGUUAAACUACGGAGGAAAAGGUCCGAUACGUGGGCCUUUUUCUCUUCUUCCACAUCGCUUGGCGGAGCAAGCGGUGAUCAUUUCAUCCACAGAUCAGCAUUGGCCGCUCCUACCUCCCGCGCACGGAUAAACGAAGUUGUGAAUCUCCCACGAUUGCUACGGACGGACAGAUCGACGAAAGGCCCAGUUGUCACGAGCACCGACCGCCCGCCGGCCCACAAAACCGGCCAUUUUGGGAACGCCGUAUUCAUCACCUUCGGCGUCGGUCAUUGUGCACGGCCGCCAUCGUUGGCCAUUGUUCGCUGGCCACUAUCUGCGCCUGUGAAUGCGUGGAUCCGCCAUUGCUCCUUGCCAUCACGCCAUCUCGAUCAUCGGACAUCCUUCUUCGAGUCAAACGCCGGUCAGAGACUCACUGGUGCGAUAGGGAGCGACGCCUAAACGUUACGACAUUCCCGGAGACCCUCCGGUACUGAAGAGUGCCCAGCAUCCUCUCCAAGCGCUGGGGGCAUCGCGCAGCCCGGUUCCCGGCGGGACAGCCGUCAAAUACCCUGCGGAACCGCAUCGUUCGCUCCAUCGCUACACCGGUGACGUCCGGCCAGCCCGCUAGACCCUGAAGCACCGCCCGGUACUACCACCGGUUCCCCGAAGCACCACCCGGUACCACCGCCGGCCCCCGAUGUUCAGCUCACCACCGUGCCGUCAACCACCACCGUUCAAAUGCAGCAAACCGCAAGUACCCUACCCCACAAGUGUUGUGACGUCACAUUAAGCCAAUUCAUUAAGCCAAUUUUGGCCAUAAUAAACUAGAAUGUUAAGAUGAAAA